rnacentral:rRNA from 1 species
GACAGAGGGUGUAAACGUUGUUCGGAAUUACUGGGCGUAAAGCGCACGUAGGCGGAUUGUUAAGUUAGGGGUGAAAUCCUGGAGCUCAACUCCAGAACUGCCUUCGAUACUGGAAAGCUCGAGUCCGGGAGAGGUGAGUGGAACUGCGAGUGUAGAGGUGAAAUUCGUAGAUAUUCGCAAGAACACCAGUGGCGAAGGCGGCUCACUGGCCCGGUACUGACGCUGAGGUGCGAAAGCGUGGGGAGCAAACAGG